rnacentral:rRNA from 1 species
CAGGGCUGCACACGUACUACAUUGAUCAACUCAGUAGGCGUCGUGUUAGUUCUCCAAUAACGUAUCUAGUGGACUUGGUGUCGGGUAUGUGGCCUCGGUCAUGUACUUUGAUUACUGUCACUUUAAACACUGGUCGUUAGACUCGUGCAAUCCAAUAGAAGAGGUGAAUAAGUUUCCCAAAGUACCGUGUUUAGCUCCCGUGUUCGUAGCGACCCCUCGCAAAUGCCAGUCGAUGUGGGUCCUUUGUGCUUUUUUCAAUUCUUAGUGGGGACAGACAUCUGUUAACUUUUUGUCUCGGUCCCA